rnacentral:rRNA from 1 species
AUUGAACGCUGGCGGCAGGCCUAACACAUGCAAGUCGAGCGGAUGAAGGGAGCUUGCUCCUGGAUUCAGCGGCGGACGGGUGAGUAAUGCCUAGGAAUCUGCCUGGUAGUGGGGGAUAACGUCCGGAAACGGGCGCUAAUACCGCAUACGUCCUGAGGAAGAAAGUGGGGGAUCUUCGGACCUCACGCUAUCAGAUGAGCCUAGGUCGGAUUAGCUAGUUGGUGGGGUAAAGGCCUACCAAGGCGACGAUCCGUAACUGGUCUGAGAGGAUGAUCAGUCACACUGGAACUGAGACGCGGCCCGGACCCCGACGGGAGGAACAAGUGGGGAAUUUUGAAAAAGGGGCGAAGCCUUGACCCAGCCAUCCCGGGGGUGUGAAGAAGGUCUUCGGUUUGUAAAGCUCUUUAAGUUGGGAGAAAGGCAAGUAAUUUAAUACCUUGCUUUUUUGACGUUACCAAAAAAAUAAGCCCCGGCUAACUCCGUC